rnacentral:rRNA from 1 species
CACGCCGUAAACGAUGAGUACUAGGUGUCGGGGUUUAAAGACUUCGGUGCCGCAGUUAACGCAUUAAGUACUCCGCCUGGGGAGUACGCACGCAAGUGUGAAACUCAAAGGAAUUGACGG